rnacentral:rRNA from 1 species
UAUCUGUGGAUUAAAGGUGGCUUUUGGGCUGUCGCAGAUGGAUGAGCCUGCGUUGGAUUAGCUAGUUGGUGAGGUAAGGGCCUACCAAGGCUACGAUCCAUAGCUGAUUUGAGAGGAUGAUCAGCCACAUUGGGACUGAGACACGGCCCAAACUCCUACGGGAGGCAGCAGUGAGGAAUAUUGGACAAUGGGGGCAACCCUGAUCCAGCAAUGCCAUGUGUGUGAAGAAGGCCUUAGGGUUGUAAAGCACUUUAGUUGGGGAAGAAAGCUUUGAGGUUAAUAGCCUUGAGGAAAAGGACGUUACCCAAAGAAUAAGCACCGGCUAACUCCGUGCCAGCAGCCGCGGUAAUACGGGGGGUGCAAGCGUUAAUCGGAAUUACUGGGCGUAAAGGGUCUGUAGGUGGUUUGUUAAGUCAGAUGUGAAAGCCUAGGGCUCAACCUUGGAACUGCAUUUGAUACUGGUAAACUAGAGUACGGUAGAGGAAUGGGGAAUUUCUGGUGUAGCGGUGAAAUGCGUAGAGAUCAGAAGGAACACCAAUGGCGAAGGCAACAUUCUGGACCGAUACUGACACUGAGGGACGAAAGCGUGGGGAUCAAACAGGAUUAGAUACCCUGGUAGUCCACGCUGUAAACGAUGAGUACUAGCUGUUGGAGUCGGUGUAAAGGCUCUAGUGGCGCAGCUAACGCGAUAAGUACUCCGCCUGGGGACUACGGCCGCAAGGCUAAAACUCAAAGGAAUUGACGGGGACCCGCACAAGCGGUGGAGCAUGUGGUUUAAUUCGAUGCAACGCGAAGAACCUUACCUGGUCUUGACAUCCUGCGAUCUUUCUAGAGAUAGAUUGGUGCCUUCGGGAACGCAGUGACAGGUGCUGCACGGCUGUCGUCAGCUCGUGUUGUGAAAUGUUGGGUUAAGUCCCGCAACGAGCGCAACCCCUAUUGAUAGUUACCAUCAUUAAGUUGGGUACUCUAUUGAGACUGCCGCUGACAAGGCGGAGGAAGGUGGGGACGACGUCAAGUCAUCAUGGCCUUUACGACCAGGGCUACACACGUGCUACAAUGGG